GAGUUUGAUCCUGGCUCAGAACUAACGCUGGCGGCGCGUCUUAAACAUGCAAGUCGAACGGUAGUCCUUGAGCUUGCUUAGGGAUGAGAGUGGCGAACGGGUGAGUAACACGUGGAUAAUCUGCCUCCGGGUUGGGGAUAACUGUCCGAAAGGGCAGCUAAUACCGAAUGAGAUGGUGGUUACAUAAGUAGCAGCCAUUAAAGGUGGGGACCGCAAGGCCUACUGCCUGGAGAUGAGUCCGCGGCUGAUUAGCUUGUUGGUGGGGUAACGGCCUACCAAGGCGACGAUCAGUAGCCGGCCUGAGAGGGUGAACGGCCACAUUGGGACUGAGAUACGGCCCAGACUCCUACGGGAGGCAGCAGUUAAGAAUCUUGCACAAUGGGCGCAAGCCUGAUGCAGCGACGCCGCGUGAAUGAUGAAGGCUUUAGGGUUGUAAAGUUCAGUAAGCAGGGAAGAAUAAGCAAGAGGUAAUAUUUCUUGUGAUGACGGUACCUGCCUAAAGCCCCGGCUAACUACGUGCCAGCAGCCGCGGUAAUACGUAUGGGGCGAGCGUUGUUCGGAAUUAUUGGGCGUAAAGGGCGUCUAGGCGGGAAAUUAAGUUAGGUGUGAAAGCUAUGGGCUCAACCCAUAAACUGCAUCUAAAACUGAUUUUCUUGAGUUCGGGAGAGGAGAGCGGAAUUCCAGGUGUAGCGGUGAAAUGCGUAGAUAUCUGGAAGAACACCAGUGGCGAAAGCGGCUCUCUGGCCUAGAACUGACGCUGAAGCGCGAAAGCGUGGGGAGCGAACAGGAUUAGAUACCCUGGUAGUCCACGCUGUAAACGUUGUAUACUAGGUGUUAGUGGCUUGUCCACUAGUGCCGCAGCAAACGCAUUAAGUAUACCGCCUGGGGAGUACGCCC
rnacentral:rRNA from 1 species